rnacentral:rRNA from 1 species
CCUUGAGAGUGCCGUCGAAACCGGUUUUCUUGAGUGCGGAUGAAGUAGGCGGAAUUUGUGGUGUAGCGGUGAAAUGCGUAGAUAUCACAAAGAACACCGAUUGCGGAGGCAGCUUACUAAACCGCAACUGACGCUCAUGCACGAAGGCGUGGGGAUCAAACAGGAUUAGAUACCCUGGUAGUCCACGCAGUAAACGAUGAUUACUAGCUGUUUGCGAUACAAUGUAAGCGGCUGAGCGAAAGCGUUAAGUAAUCCACCUGGGGAGUACGUUCGCAAGAAUGAAACUCAAAGGAAUUGACGGGGGCCCGCACAAGCGGAGGAACAUGUGGUUUAAUUCGAUGAUACGCGAGGAACCUUACCCGGGCUUGAAAUGCAUCUGACCGGGCCGGAAACGGUCUUUCCCAGCGAUGGGCAGAUGUGUAGGUGCUGCAUGGUUGUCGUCAGCUCGUGCCGUGAGGUGUCGGCUUAAGUGCCAUAACGAGCGCAACCCUCAUCGUCAGUUACCAUCGGGUAAAGCCGGGGACUCUGACGAGACUGCCAUCGUAAGAUGCGAGGAAGGUGGGGAUGACGUCAAAUCAGCACGGCCCUUAUGUCCGGGGCGACACACGUGUUACAAUGGGCGGUACAGCGGGGAGCUACCUGGCGACAGGGAGCCGAUCCCGAAAGCCGCUCACAGUUCGGAUCGGAGUCUGCAACUCGACUCCGUGAAGUCGG